GACUCCAAAGAAAUUUUAUGACACCAAAAACAUGUGUAUAUUAGAAAUUGAUUUGCUGCUGGCUUGUUGCAUGAGAAAGCAAACACAUAAUAUCUUCACAACUCUCCCACAACAGCCUUAUACUGUACCCCAGUACUUGUACAUUGAUUUCAUAUUUAAACUUGUCAAUAUUUUUUUUCCUAAUGGCUACACUGAAGAAUUAACUUAGCAAACACUAAAAUCAUAAACAAUCAGGUCAAGGAAGCCUAAAAGACCCUUCGUUUUCAAGGCUUUAAAGAAGUCCAUAUUUUGCUUGGUUUAGAUCUUCGGAUUUAACAAACCCAACCUAGCUCACUCAUGCUUAGCUUCCAUAUCAUCCCAAAUGGAUGUCAGCACAAAGUGUUCUACCAAAUGGGAUUUUAUGACAACAAUAGAUCAUUGACUUGCAUCAAAAAAAUUUAAAUUCAAUGUUAAAUUGAUU